rnacentral:lncRNA from 1 species
CGGGGGCCGCCGGUGCCUCCUCUCGCUGUGGUGCUGCAGCCCGCCUCGGCCGGGCCCCGCUUUGCCCGGUGCCGGAGAGCCCGCGGGAGGGAGACGGGGCGUCCCGCCCGCAAUGCGCUGCUCUGUGCGAGAGGAGCCGCGGGAAGGCCCUGAGGAGACGGGCGAGGAGCGGCACCCUGCUGCGGGACGUGGAGGUCCGGUGCCCGCCUGUGCUCCGCGUUCGCUCACUGGCAAAACUGCGCUUCGGUGUUCACAGCUCCUCAGGCUCCAGGAGCUGGAGUUCCCUGUGCUUGGAAAAGCUGAAGAAUGACACAGAUGGGGAUGAAGCUGAGCUGCGUGUCGGACAGCUGCAGUUCCAGAAAUGGCAGCUUCUCUACAAGCAAUGUCAUGUCCUGGUGGAGUCAACUUUCUUGGGACAGAGAGGUAUUGAGAAGUGUUUGUUUCAGCCUCCUCCUACCUCUGAGCUUCCUGGCAGAAGGACCACUGUAAGCAGCCACAGCUCCAACAAUGCAGCUGCUGUAGGGAAAGCCAAUGCUUGUGUUCAUCCAGCCACAAGGAGUGGUUCUGCCCUGCUGGUAUCAAAUAGGAGCAGCCUGUUCUGAAAUAAGCCCCCCCCAAAAAAACAAAGAAACCUAAACCAAAACCAACCCCCAAAAGGUACCUUGGCUAUAAUUAGGGGCUUAAAUGGCAACUCAGGUUUGAACGGCAAAUUGCUGCUUGACAAACAUCCCCACCACAAAUCCUCUGACAGCACAGAGAGUUGCUGCCAGGCAUCCAAAGCAGGAUGGGGCAGAAGGAUCAGUCUGUUCUCAUCUCUGCCCUCCUGACAAUGGAUGGAGGGCACCUUGUAUAGGAAUUGCUCAUGGCUGCUGCAUGCCUGAUGCUGACAGCACAGCUGAGGGAACACAGCACACUGAGCCAGGGCCACACGGUAGUUCUCCUUCGUGGCAGCUUUGCCCUGACCAGUGUGUCUGUUGAGGUGGGGCGCAGCAGAACAGGCCACAGUGGGACCCAGGCUGCAGAAGUUGCACUUGGGCUGUUGCAGAGAAUUCUGUGUCAUCACAUAGUAACUGCUGUGCAUGUGCCAGCAAGAGCAGAGCUAGCAUGAGUAAGCUUAUUAUCCAAUAAUCACACUUUCAUCUUUCUGGGUACAUAAACUGCUGAGGUAUCCAAGUCUCGCAGUGAGGCACAAUCACUGUCUGAAGAUGAGCAAGAAGGAACCGGGUCCUUUCCUCGUUGGGAACAUAUGUCUGAUUUGACACCAUUAUCUUUUACUGUUUUUAAACAGAAUAUCAUUAUUGAAGCACCUGUUGCCACUUAAUUACCUGUGUUUGAUUAAAAAGAUGCUAAAUGAUGUGCUUUUUAGGUACAAACUCCUUCAUUUUUAUAUCCUUUUAUGAUGAGCCUCUAUGUCCAUUUCCAAGGCUGGAUCAAAACUUCCCGUGUGGGCCAGUGGCUGAGCACCC